rnacentral:piRNA from 1 species
UCCCCAGUGAGGAAGCUAGAGAAGGUGGAGU